rnacentral:lncRNA from 1 species
GAAUACUGCAGGACACGAUGCAAAGUGCGAGAUGAUGGCAACGUGAAAUGCAAGCAGAGACAGGAUGCUGUGGACGGAGAGAAAACCCCCUAGAUGAGGUGUCUGCGACAACACUGCAGAAAUAUAUACUUUUUUGACAUUUUGGAAUCAAAAGCAAAGUUUGUUGAUGAUAACCCCAUCAGAUCAGGGUGGUUUAAAAGCCAAAGCUUAGUGCAAAUAAGAUCCCAGGGCCAGCCCCUCGAGCUGACAGUGCCCGCGCAGGCACGUCAAUUUCAACAAAUGUAUCGUGCGUCACUUGUCUGCUGUGCAGCUGACAUUGGCCGAGAACUCACUAUUUGCUGAGGGUUGUGUCGAGUGCCAUGCAUUACCUUAUUUAAUCCUCUCAACAACCCUUUGAAGGAGGUACUAUUAUCAUCGUGAUUUUAUUGAUGAGGAACCUAAGGACACAAAGGAGUUCAGUAAUGUCCCCAAGGUCACAGAGGUCGUAGGUUAGCAGACAAGGGACUCCAGCCCAGAUAUUGUGCAGAAACCAGGUCUGAUCUUUCUGCUCCAUGUCAGCAGCCUUUGACCUUUGGAACUGGCCCAGGAUACUAAGUGGAACAGUUCAUUUUGGAGAUGCAGUGGGAAAUAAGUUCAGCCAAUUGCUGGCCUUGCGUAAAUAAGACCAUCGGGGCGAGUUUUCCCGAGUAGGUCAGGAAUGAAAAAACUCUCUCCAUUGCCCUCUGCAGGGGGGUGUCUUCUGUUUGUGUGAAAUGCUGGGAGGCAUUUCCACUGCUGACCCCUGGGCACCUCAAAUGGCUGCACAUAUCUUUGUGAAGAACCCUCAGUGUGGCCGCUGCUGGAAAAGCAUGUAUGUUUUGUGCUGUUUGAACGGAUUUUUAAAAAUUUGUUAUUUUAUUUUAACAUGCAGAUUCCGAAGGAGAAAGGGCAAAAGCCUUUCUCCAAGCCAGCAACCAGUCCUGUCUCUUUUCUCUGACCUCCAAAUCCAUCCUUGGGAGCUAGUGGCCACGAUGGCCGCCAUCAACCCUGCCCAUCGACUCUUCCCUCACGCCCCCAGAGGGAUCGAAAUGUCAUCGGAGCGUGCUACUCCCUGGCCUCCCGUGCCACUUCGCAUGAAAACCAGCCUCCUUUCCACGUCUCCGGUGCUCUACAGGCGGUUUCACCCCUCCGCUGAUGCACACCUGUUCCCUUCUGUUCCUCAAAGGAGUUGUUUUAUAUGCAAACCCCAUGACCCAGCAACUCCAUCGCUAGUCUAUACUAAACAGAAAUGUACACAUAUAUCCCUCAGAAGAUGGGUUCAAGAGUACUCAUAGCAGUGUUAUUAUUUUCUUUGGUGAGGAAGAUUGGCCCUGACCUAACAUCUGUGCCCAUCUUCCUCUAUUUUGUAUGUGAGACACUCCACAGCAUGGCUUGGUGAGCAGUGUGCAGGUCCAGGCCCGGGAUCUGAACCCCUGAACCCCGGGCCACUGAAGUGGUGCAUAUGAAGUUAACCACUGCAGCCGGCCCCGGCAGUGUUAUUCUUAAUAGCCAAAACAACCCAAAUGUCCAUGAGGAGGAGAAUGGAUAAAUAGUGGAAUUUGUCAACAAGAAUGAAAGAACAACAUGGAUGAGUCUUAAAACCAUAGUGUGGAGCAAAGAAGCCAGAUACAGAAGAGUGCAUACUAUGGGGUUCUGAGGCACAAAGUUCAGAAGCAAUCUAUGAUAUUCAAAGCUAAGAAGUUCAAAAACACUUCUGUCUAGGGAGGCAGAAGUCAGGAUGGUGGUCAGCCUGGGAGGCAGGUGGUGGAUGGGAGGGGCGCAGGGGGUCCCCUGGGGUGCCAGUUAUGUUUUGUUUCUUAUGUGGGUCUGGUUACACAGUGUGUAUUCACUCUCUGAUAGUUCACCAAUUUGUACAUUUUUCUUGGUGUCUGUUCAAUAAAGUAUUAGAAAAUAAAAGAGCUGCUCUGCGU